rnacentral:rRNA from 1 species
CCUACGGGUGGCUGCAGUGGGGAAUCUUGGACAAUGGGGGCAACCCUGAUCCAGCAAUGCCGCGUGUGUGAAGAAGGCCUUCGGGUUGUAAAGCACUUUCAGCGGGGAGGAAGGCGUUAAGUUUAAUAACCUUGUCGAUUGACGUUACCCGCAGAAGAAGCACCGGCUAACUCCGUGCCAGCAGCCGCGGUAAUACGGAGGGUGCAAGCGUUAAUCGGAAUUACUGGGCGUAAAGCGCACGCAGGCGGUCUGUCAAGUCGGAUGUGAAAUCCCCGGGCUCAACCUGGGAACUGCAUUCGAAACUGGCAGGCUAGAGUCUUGUAGAGGGGGGUAGAAUUCCAGGUGUAGCGGUGAAAUGCGUAGAGAUCUGGAGGAAUACCGGUGGCGAAGGCGGCCCCCUGGACAAAGACUGACGCUCAGGUGCGAAAGCGUGGGGAGCAAACAGGAUUAGAUACCCGAGUAGUC